CCUACGGGUGGCAGCAGUGGGGAAUAUUGCACAAUGGGCGCAAGCCUGAUGCAGCGACGCCGCGUGCGGGAUGGAGGCCUUAGGGUUGUAAACCGCUUUUGUUCAAGGGCAAGGCACGGUCUUUGGACGUGUUGAGCGGAUUGUUCGAAUAAGCACCGGCUAACGACGUGCCAGCAGCCGCGGUAUUACGUAGGGUGCAAGCGUUAUCCGGAUUUUUUGGGCGUAAAGGGGGCGUAGGCGGGUCGUCGCGGCCGGUGUGAAAGGCCAGGGCUUAACGGUGGGUCCGCGCCGGGUACGGGCGGGCUUGAGUGCGGUAGGGGAGACUGGAAUUCCCGGUGUAACGGUGGAAUGUGUAGAUAUCGGGAAGAACACCGAUGGCGAAGGCAGGUCUCUGGGGCGUAACUGACGCUGAGGAGCGAAAGCGUGGGGAGCGAACAGGAUUAGAUACCCGUGUAGUC
rnacentral:rRNA from 1 species